rnacentral:rRNA from 1 species
CUUAACACAUGCAAGUCGAACGGAAAGGCCCUGCUUUUGUGGGGUGCUCGAGUGGCGAACGGGUGAGUAACACGUGAGUAACCUGCCCUUGACUUUGGGAUAACUUCAGGAAACUGGGGCUAAUACCGGAUAGGAGCUCCUGCUGCAUGGUGGGGGUUGGAAAGUUUCGGCGGUUGGGGAUGGACUCGCGGCUUAUCAGCUUGUUGGUGGGGUAGUGGCUUACCAAGGCUUUGACGGGUAGCCGGCCUGAGAGGGUGACCGGCCACAUUGGGACUGAGAUACGGCCCAGACUCCUACGGGAGGCAGCAGUGGGGAAUAUUGCACAAUGGGCGGAAGCCUGAUGCAGCAACGCCGCGUGCGGGAUGACGGCCUUCGGGUUGUAAACCGCUUUCGCCUGUGACGAAGCGUGAGUGACGGUAAUGGGUAAAGAAGCACCGGCUAACUACGUGCCGGCAGCCGCGGUGAUACGUAGGGUGCGAGCGUUGUCCGGAUUUAUUGGGCGUAAAGGGCUCGUAGGUGGUUGAUCGCGUCGGAAGUGUAAUCUUGGGGCUUAACCCUGAGCGUGCUUUCGAUACGGGUUGACUUGAGGAAGGUAGGGGAGAAUGGAAUUCCUGGUGGAGCGGUGGAAUGCGCAGAUAUCAGGAGGAACACCAGUGGCGAAGGCGGUUCUCUGGGCCUUUCCUGACGCUGAGGAGCGAAAGCGUGGGGAGCGAACAGGCUUAGAUACCCUGGUAGUCCACGCUGUAAACGGUGGGUACUAGGUGUGGGGUCCAUUCCACGGGUUCCGUGCCGUAGCUAACGCUUUAAGUACCCCGCCUGGGGAGUACGGCCGCAAGGCUAAAACUCAAAGGAAUUGACGGGGCCCCGCACAAGCGGCGGAGCAUGCGGAUUAAUUCGAUGCAACGCGUAGAACCUUACCUGGGUUUGACAUGGAUCGGGAGUGCUCAGAGAUGGGUGUGCCUCUUUUGGGGUCGGUUCACAGGUGGUGCAUGGCUGUCGUCAGCUCGUGUCGUGAGAUGUUGGGUUAAGUCCCGCAACGAGCGCAACCCUUGUUCACUGUUGCCAGCACGUUAUGGUGGGGACUCAGUGGAGACCGCCGGGGUCAACUCGGAGGAAGGUGGGGAUGACGUCAAGUCAUCAUGCCCCUUAUGUCCAGGGCUUCACGCAUGCUACAAUGGCUGGUACAGAGAGUGGCGAGCCUGUGAGGGUGAGCGAAUCUCGGAAAGCCGGUCUCAGUUCGGAUUGGGGUCUGCAACUCGACCUCAUGAAGUCGGAGUCGCUAGUAAUCGCAGAUCAGCAACGCUGCGGUGAAUACGUUCCCGGGGCUUGUACACACCGCCCGUCAAGUCAUGAAAGUUGGUAACACCCGAAGCCGGUGGCCUAACCGUUGUGGGGGAGCCGUCGAAGGUGGGACUGGUGAUUAGGACUAAGUC